GCUGUUGUGGCUCAGUGGGAGAGCAUCUAGCUAUGAACCAGAAGGUCAUGGUUCCAUUCCCAGGUGAGGGCA
rnacentral:tRNA from 1 species